rnacentral:rRNA from 1 species
AUUGAACGCUGGCGGCAGGCCUAACACAUGCAAGUCGAGCGAGUGGCGGACGGGUGAGUAAUGCAUGAGGAACUGCCUCAUGGGGGGGGAUCACUACUGGAAAAGGUAGGUAAUUCCGCCAACUAUAUGUAUAACCCAUAUGGGAUGAGCGGGUAGGGGAGUGAACGGCUCACCUAGGCGACGAUGCCUCGCUGGUCUGAGAGGAUGAUCAGCCACACGGGGACGGAGACACGGCCCAGACUCCGACGGGAGGAAGCAGUGGGGAAUAUUGCACAAUGGGCGCAAGCCUGAGGCAGCAAUGCCGCGUGGAGGAAGAAGGCCUUCGGGUUGUAAAGUACUUUCAGUCGGGAGGCGUUACCGACAGAAGAAGCAACGGCUAACUACGUGCCAGCAGCCGCGGUAAUAC